GGCCAGUUAGCUCAGACAGUUAGAGCGUGGUGCUAAUAACACCAAGGUUGUGGGUUCGAUCCUCGUACGGGCCA
rnacentral:tRNA from 1 species